CUGGAAAGCUGUCUGUGGACAAACGCUGGCUCCCUCGGCCUGAAAGCGAGAUGAGUGCCACAACCCCACAGUCACCUUUGACUGGACUUGACCAUCCAGGGGUCCUUUACCUUUUUUACCUUUUAUAUAGCAUUCAAUGAAAAGAGAAGGACUCUCAGAAACUGGCUGAAACAAAUGUUCAAUCCUUGCCUGACAUUUACUUAGGUUUAAAUGUAAUUCCAGCGCUACACGUACGUUACGUAAGGGCCAGAGCUCAUGCUUUUGCUUUGACUGUGUAAAUGUGGAUCUCAAUCCCCAGUUGAAAGGAACUCAAACAGCCUUUUUUGUCUACCCUCUCCCCUGCGAUUCCAGUCACAAUGAAGAUUUUUAAAUCACAGAAGGAGCCUAUGUAAGUACUGCACACAAUAUUGUAGAGGGUGGGGUGAUUUUAAAAAACUCAAUCCUCCUGUCAGACUUGGAAUAUCCCCAGUUUAGGGUAUUCCACCAUUCUUCAUCAGAGUUUUCUUUCAGCAAAGCAAGCGACUCACAUAUAUUCCAAAGAAAACUUUAAUAAUAAAGAAAAUGGUAACACAAUAACAUACCGUCUGAGAGAAACUAAAACAACAUUGUGAGGCAAGAAGGACAGUUGGCCUCUCUAACUGAACUGAACUGAACACUCGAAGGGAGGGGCUGCUUCUGGAGCAGAACAUAGAAGCCCCACCCAGAUGACAGUCAUUCUACUAUUCCCCCACCCAGCCCCGCCCAGAUGACAGACAUGCCAUCUGGGCGGGGCUGGGUGGGGGAAUAGUAGAAUGACUGUCAUCUGGGUGGGGCUUCAAAUUAGACCCCAGUGUUUUUCUUACACACAACUCCAAGCACACAACAGAAGUUCAACCUGGAGGACUUUGGGGACAGGAACAGAGGGGCCACGACCAGUGAUUUUAUUCUAGAAAAAAAGGGCAGGUACUCACCAGCAAGCAGGGGGGCCAGCCCAUGGUGGGGCGGGGGUGAAACCUGGCACCAAUGCUGGAUGGUGAGGGCAGGUUAGCUGUUUGAGACCCCUUGCCCGUCCAUCCACCUACUGGGGCACUGCCACUCAGGUGAAGAACCUGAUUUUGGGAAGGAGGCAGCAGAGUUCCAGGAUCCUGUCAGAGCACCUCCUUCUCUAAGCUGGGCAAACACUUCCCGGACUUGGGGAAGGAGGUGAAAUGUUCUGAUGGGGUCCAAGAGCCCUUCUGCCACCUUCCCCCCUCCCGAAGGGUGGCGAUACUGUGUGCCGUUGCGUACCGCCAGAAAAAAAGUAUAUAUCUCCUCUCCCCACACCUCCACUCUUCAUGUGCAUGACUGGAAUCGCAUGAGGGGAAACAGGGCUAUGACGAUUUCUUCCCCAAACCAGCAGGAAUUGCUGUCAGAAUUGAGAAUACUGAUCUGGGUAAGCGAAUGGUCUGAUCCAGUAUUAAGCAGCUUCAUGUGUUCCCAUCACUAGCAUGCACUCCCUGACAAAUUUCCCCUGAAGGAAUGCAGUCGUCAACUGAUUCAGUUUAAGUGGGGAAGCAAAUAAAUAGGUUUAAUCAAGAAGCAAUAAAUGAAUGAAGAGGAUGAAUGGGCCAAUGAUGCUUAGGAAGCAUUAAACUCAACACACUCAGAUAAGUUUCAGUUGUCCUUCUGGCAAUAAAGCUGCUAGCACCUUUGCAAAGCUAAGCAGGUUCAGGUAUGGUUUCGAACCAUAAGGGGGACCAUGUGUUGUGAUUCUUGCAUUGUCGGGCGUCGGACUAGAUGACCCCCGGGGUCCCUUUCAACUCUACAAUUCUGUGCCUUUCUGGUUCUAUAAUGGACUCCUUGUUGCACAAGGGGACCUCUCAACGCAUUUUAACCCACUAACACAGCUUCACAAAGGAAUCUUCAAAAGUUACUAGCUCUUUUUACUAGUCAUAAACACAUGAACUGCUCACACAUUAGCAGUGCUGAAAGUCAGCAACAACCUGAAAGGAAAGAACCAUCUUUCAAAGUACAAAAUAUUUCCUUGUCUGGUCACUUUGAAUUUUUUUUUCUUUUAUUUGUGCCACAGGUGCUCAAAAAGAGGGCAAUUUUAAUCCUAAACUAAUGGAUCUCUGAUGACUAUAAAGUAAUAUGCAGGCAGUCUGCAUACAGGGAGGUAGGAAUCACCCAUUUGCCAUGGACUGACCACUUCCUGGUGAAGUUUGGACUCGUAUCAGCUGACCUACCCUGCAAGUGUGAGGGACCAGUUAAGAUGGCCCAUCCUGGAGACUAAUGGAAACGGAUGGAUACCUGAAUGCUCUGGGUGUUCCUACAAUGGAUAGAGUGAGUGAUUCUGCUGAGGAUCCUGUCUCGCUGUGUAAUGGUGGGAUGAUGAGGGCCAUUGACACAAUCCUUCUUAUGAUCGUUCUUUAGCAUAGUGGAGCCCAGGAAGCUCCUGGGUUACUGAAGAGCUGCAGGUGAUGAAACAGUCAAGAAAGGACUGGAGCAGGUGGCAUAAAACUUGAAGCCGGCAGAGCACUUGCUAGGGCACAUAACUGCACCUACCAAGUAGCAGCUGAGGCAACUAGGAAGAGGUUUUUUGCUGCUUCCAUUGCAUACAUACAAACACAUACACACACACACACACACACACACACACACACACAGGAGAAUGAAAUCAUGACAUCCAAAGCACUCAGAUCUCACCCUCUGUCAGAUCUAUGUGGCCUAGAGCUCAGCUUAUAAUUUUCUGUUCACUGGGUCCAUGUUUAUCAUUUUCUGGGGAAUAAUUCAAGAACAAAAAUCAAAGAAAGGCAUUAUUUGAUACUUAGAACCAGUGCUUUUUUCAGGAGCUCCUCAAGGGUACGCAGGACUGGCACCUCUUUUUUUCAUCAUUAAAAAGUGUGGCAGUUACUGUAACAACAUCAUGGUGAGUACCGGGACCUAUUUUUCUAGAAAAAAAGCACUGUUUAGAACUACUAAGGAAAUAUUGCUACUCUUCGCAGCUGUGCCAAGUUCUUACAAUAUACCCUUGACCGAAGAACGGUACACUCCUUCUAUCUGGGAUGGUCGUCCUCUUCCACCGAGCGCGCAGCUUCGGGAGGGACGCACAUGGAGCGGUGAGGGAGGAAGGGGACACCCGCCUAGCCAGCCAGAUCAGCCGAAUCAACCCUGGCGAUCAAUGGGGUGACAGAUGUCGCAGCCAGAUCGCCCUCACAUCCUUCCGGUAUGAUGGCGGACAGCACUCUACUAAUGUGAGCCCAUUGAUUUUAUCUUUUUAUUUUCUCUUACUCCUUUUAAAGACUAUUUUAAUGAAUAUUGAGCUCAGAUAAUUUUAAGCACCUCACCCCAUUCCAUCCCACGCUCCGCUUUCCUGACUCUUCUUGGAGCUUUAAAGCCGCACUGACUAUCUUAUCACACUGCGAAGAGCUUACAGGAAGAUUCAUGGGCUGUUCCCACCACAAGUCUGGAGGCACAGACGGAGCAUAACUUAGUGUUAUGCCAAUAACCUUUGGCACACUCCUCCUCCUUGAAUAGGAUACUUUCAAGGAAAAUACUCCCUCGACUCUUUGAAAAAUUUAGGGAAGAUAAAAGAGCGAGGCAAAGGGAGAGAUGACUCAGCAAUUAGACAGCCCUGCUGAUGCGAGGAGGGGGGUUGGCAAACGCUGCAGAGAAUCGGAGGACUCAGAGGAAAUGGCAUGUUUGCCCCUUACCAAGCAAACCAAAAUCAGCGAAUUCUUCCAUGGAAAAACAAAGGACACUUUUAAUAUUCCGACCUCGAACAGUUUCUCGCCAUUAGCAGAGAUAAUAGAUAAGGAAAUUACACCGAAGGAACCACCCACUAAACAACCCAUUAACUCCUUAAACAACUCCACCACGAGACCAAAAGGCCCCAAAAAGCUCCAACUAUGCCCAUUCAGGCGGAAGACUGCAUCGGAGAACAAGCAAACUAUCUCUCUGAAUUACUGCUUGAACACUCUACCACGUUAGACCUAGUGGCUAAAACCGUGGACUGUAUCUUUAAAUAUAUAAGAGACAUCAAAGGCUCCUUAGAGAAUAUUACAUCCUUUGUAUCCCCAAAAGUUAAUGUCAGCCCUGUAGACGUUUCACCGGAGGAUAGGGCUGAACCAACGCCCAGAGUACCUGCCCUAUUACGUUUAACCCCGCAGACUGGCUGCAAAUCUGAAAACGAACAAUCUAUGGAAGAUUCACACACCAUAUCUUCCUAUAAUCUUUCGUUACAAGCCACUAGACUUUGUUUAAUUAUCCUUCCCUUCAAAGGUCAGGUUGUUAACUGGUCGUCUACACAUGUCGCAAGAAGGCAUUUGGCUGAGCUUCUGGGCGUAGAUCCUCUUUCCAUCGAUCUGAAAUCCGCUGUCCACAUUUACAGCAAGCCACACAUGCAGAGGAUACUGCUCACCUUUGAUUCUAAAAAGCUUCCAACUUAUAUGAUGUCCUUACGAAGCUACCUGACUAAUUAUAGAAUUUUUAUCACAAGAGUUUUUAUCAACACUAAGAUUUGCCCUCUUAUUCCCUACUCUCCAGUUAAAAGGAAAGCAAUUAAAAAUGAGGGCAUUCCAUCUACUACGAGCUCUACCUCUCCACCCUCAGACUUAAUUAGUUGGACAGAGACCCCCAUGCCCCUCCUAUCAAAGGCUACUCAUCUUGAGAAUUCGAUGGAGCAGGAAUUACUUGUCUCCUUCUCCCAUCUGCCAAAAGCCGAACAAACAGAGAUAACGGACAGACUAGAUGAGUUAUUACUCUAUCUCCGCAACUUUGAAGAUCUAGCGCCCAUAAAAGAGGCAAAUAUUCCACCUAACUUGGAGCGAAAAAUGGGUCAUGAAUCUCCNNNNNNNNNNNNNNNNNNNNNNNNNNNNNNNNNNNNNNNNNNNNNNNNNNNNNNNNNNNNNNNNNNNNNNNNNNNNNNNNNNNNNNNNNNNNNNNNNNNNCUCCACCAGAUGUCAAAGAGAACAACAACUACCAGGCUUUUAGAAGACAUCUGAAGGCAGCCCUGUUUCGGGAAGCUUUUAAUGUUUGAUGUAUUAUAGUAUUUUAAUAUUCUUUUGGAAGCCGCCCAGAGUGGCCGGGGAAGCCCAGCCAGAUGGGCGGGGUAUAAAUAAUAAAUUAUUAUUAUUAUUAUUAUUAUUAUUAUUAUUAUGUGCCAAGUUCUUACAAUAUCCAAAACUAAGAUCCUCUAAGCAUGGAUAUUCAGAAUAAUUACUUUCAGGUGAAGGUACUAUACUAACAGCCAAACAGCAGACUAAUCCUGAAUGAAGGCAACAGAACUGCAAUAUGUAAAAACCUCCACCUCACCAUACUAAGAUUUCCAAAGCGAUGCAGAGAUUUACUAAUGGAUACAUGGUCUGUGAACAUUUCACUCAUCAAUCACCCUAACCUGCCAUCAAAGUCUAGACUCAAAAUAUGUUGGCACAUUAGAGCAUUUCACAACUGAAUAAUCCUGUCAAAAUCCAUUUUUAUUCAUCUAUUCAUGAUAGAAAUGUUUGGCUUAAAUGAAUGCAAUUUAUGCAUCCUACAAGGCUCGGAUCCCAGGCACUCUCUCUUCCCUUGUAGCCGAAAUUUGCUUUGGAUAAAACAGGAAAUUUACACAGUGAUCGAUUGGAGCGCAGAAGAUCCUGUGGCUCAUUAUUUCUAGAGGUAGCCUCAUUACCGCGACAACCCAUUACAAUGUCUUUUUUAUUUUACAUCCUAGGAAAGUUCAGACCUGGAGAUUUACAGCACCUUGAGAUGACUCACAGCAUUAUAAUAGCAAUAAGCACCUAACUUACUUUAUUUGUAGUACAUUUUAAAGCCAAUUAAAGGAACAUUAAACCAUCUCUCAAAACAAUGUCACAUGGCACAAGGUGAUGUUUUUGUGCUGGCUACAAUUCAGCAAUUGAAGAAAGACCUACAGUAGUUUGCAACUCAUGAAACGUGAGUUCUUUGUGUGGUUUGAGGUUGGCACUGGGAGAGAACUGGCCUCUUGAACCUUCAACAGAUGCAGAGCAGCCAGAAAUUCAAUGGGUGAAGCUUUUUCUAGUAUGGAAAUGCAGUAACGGGGAAAGCUUCACCUAUUGACAAUAUGCCUGCCUUAUUAACUUGUGUGUGGCCCUCAAUUCACUUCAGGUCCUGCACCCCACUCAGACAGGAGGGUAACGAUUUGUAUAUAACUGAAGGUGUUGGAAAUUUGUAUCCGCUUUUGCAAAUGGGGAAGAGAAUCCAAUCCAUACAGUGUACUGGACCUAGAAAACCAUGUUAUCACUGCUCACCGCAGGUGAAAGAGACUGCAGACAAUAAUACUGGAGGGGGGAAGGGUGAGAGAGGGCACAAUUGCCUUCCCCAAUGCACUGAAAGAUUUAAAAGGUAGGCUAGCCAUUGCCCAGACUGAGAUGGGGCAAAACUCAAAUAUGAGUACAGCAAUAUGAAACGGGCAAUUUAUGUAUCAAUAUUUUCAAACACAGCAGCCUUCAUUUGAAUUCUUUUCCAUUGCAGGAGUUGGACUUGGGUCCCUUCCGACUCUACAAUUCUACUAUUCUAUGGUUUUUGUCAAGUGCCUGAAGCAGUUUAUUUAAUAUCUUUUAAAGCUGAUUGUUGACAAGAAAUAGUCAGCAGGUAUUCUUUUCAAUCUAUGACAACAGAUCUUCCUACACACACUCAUUCACACUCUGAUAUGGAUUGACAAAAGCAAUUCAGUUGAAAAGUUGUUGCUGGUGUCAACAAUGACAAUUGAAAACCCUAGAACUUAAAAAUAUAGGCAUAGCUAUAUGGAGACAGAUUAUCGCAGGGGAGGAAGGCAAUAAACCCCUGCUUAAAAGGUGAAUGUUCACAGUUGCAUGAAAAGUGAGGUGGUGAAUGCCAAAACGGUGGAGGCAAAAGAGGAUCUUGGAAUACCCAGAGGCUGGGAAGGACUUGCAAAAGCAGAUUAUGGAGCAUCAAGUGUGUGGAAGAUCCUGAGGAAUCAAGUGUUGAAAAGCCAUCGCCUCUUAAAACAUCCCAGUCGACGAGCCAUAAAUCUCCAACUUCCCAAGGGCUCUACUGUCAAUGCAAAGAGAUGGAAUGGCUGACAUCAGAAAUCUCCUUCCCUGCACAAGUGCAAAUUAACAGUUGGAAGCAGAUAAAGAGAUUGGGAAUAUAAGAGCUAGACCAAGAAAGAGAAACAAUUCAGUUCCCUUUUGGGGAACAAGAUUUUCUAUUUCAGUUCUUCUCCUUUUCUUUCUUCUACUGUUGUUGAUGUUGUUGCUACUUAUUUUUCCUAUUUUUCAAUUAUACACUGCUUAAUUGUAUGUAAAACCUUCAAACAGAUUACAAAAUAUAUACAAUAUACUGUACAUUAAAAUUGCCCCCAAAAAUCAAAGUUAAAAACAAGUUUCAAAAAUGAGGGAAAUAAUCAAUAAAAAUAAUCAAAAGUUUACAUUAUAAGCUGAGGUUACAGCUUAAAAUAUGUGUCAAGUUUAUGGCUUGCCUAAAAAGAAAUGUUUUUAGCUGGCACUGGAAAGGAUGCAGCAAUGACAUUUGACUGAAGUCAAUUGACGUGAGUUCCAUGAUUGUUUCAUAUGCUUCCUAGAACUGUAAAUAAAUUAGAAAACAAAUAUCUGAACACAGGAAAAAGUGUAUGCUGAAAGAGCAGUAGGCUAGAAUUCUUCUUAAGGUGCUAGUUUUUUGG
rnacentral:lncRNA from 1 species